GACGUACCACCCAACCGUUAUUCGGAAUCACUGGGCUUAAAGAGUCCGUAGGCGGCCAAGAAAGUUGGGUGUGAAAUACCUCAGCUCAACUGAGGAAUUGCGCUCAAAACUACUUGGCUCGAGAAAGACAGAGGUGAGCGGAACUGAUGGUGGAGCGGUGAAAUGCAUUGAUAUCAUCAGGAACACCGGUGGCGAAAGCGGCUCACUGGGUCUUUUCUGACGCUGAGGGACGAAAGCUAGGGGAGCGAACGGG
rnacentral:rRNA from 1 species